CCUGCUGACCGACGUGAACUACGUCCGCGAGCCAUAUGACUACCAUAAGGCGAACGCCGAGUACGUGUUCCUCUUCUCGAUGGGCUACUUCAUCUACGAUCUGCUCGACAUGCACAUUCACGGCGAGUUGGAGAGCUCGAAGGAAUAUCUCAUUCAUCAUUCGCUCGUCAUCACCGCCUUCUCGAUCAUUCUGCUCAGCGGUCGCCUGUUCGGACUGGCGAUGAUCGCGUUGCUCGUCGAGAUUCAGACCGUGUUCCUGCACUUGCGGACGAUGGUUCGGUUGCUCUAUGGAUCGAAGCAUAUGCCUGCGUCGAUUGAUGUGCUUAUCAAUGCCAAUAUGAUUUGUUUGUUCUUGUUUAGG
rnacentral:sRNA from 1 species